rnacentral:rRNA from 1 species
GAUGAACGCUGGCGGCGUGCCUAAUACAUGCAAGUCGAGCGAACGGACGAUAAGCUUGCUUUUCUGAUGUUAGCGGCGGACGGGUGAGUAACACGUGUAUAACCUACCUAUAAGACUGGGAUAACUUCGGGAAACCGGAGCUAAUACCGGAUAAUAUUUUGAACCGCAUUGUUCAAAAGUGAAAUACGGUCUUGCUGUCACGUAUAGAUGGAUCCGCGCUGCAUUAGCUAGUUGGUAAGUUAACGGCUUACCAAGGCAACGAUGCAUAGCCGACCGGAGAGGGUGAUAGGCGACACUGGAACUGAGACACGGUCCAGACUCCUACGGGAGGCAGCAGUAGGGAAUCUUCCGCAAAGGGCGAAAGCCUGACGGAGCAACGCCGAGUGAGUGAUGAAGGUCUUCGGAUCGUAAAACUCUGUUAUGAGGGAAGAACAUAUGUGUAAGUAAAUGUGCACAUAUUGACGGUAACUAAUCAGAAAGCCACGGCUAACUACGUG